GCCGCGUUCGUCUAUCGGCUAGGACGCUAGACUUUCACUCUGGUAAGACGGGUUCGAUUCCCGUACGCGGUA
rnacentral:tRNA from 1 species